rnacentral:rRNA from 1 species
CAGUCGCCGCGGUAAUACGAAGGGGGCUAGCGUUGUUCGGAUUUACUGGGCGUAAAGGGCGCGUAGGCGGAUUGUUAAGUCAGGGGUGAAAUGCCGGGGCUCAACCUCGGAACUGCCUUUGAUACUGGCGAUCUUGAGUCCGGGAGAGGUGAGUGGAACUGCGAGUGUAGAGGUGAAAUGCGUAGAGAUGUGGAGGAACACCAGUGGCGAAGGCGACUCUCUGGUCUGUAACUGACGCUGAGACGCGAAAGCCAGGGGAGCGAACGGGAUUAGAUACCCCCGUAGUCCCUGUCUCUUAUAC